CAUUUUUAGCCAUUUAGUUCUCAUGGCUCUGUUCCAGGACUCUUUAAUUUGCCAGUAGCUGUUUUUCCUACACAGAUUACAGGAGUAAUUCAUCAGUGAAUGUUUCACUCAGUGGUCCCAUCUAAUAAGGUGGUUUUCUCUUCUUUAAAUCUGCCUUUGGGGACUCUGAAAUGUAAGCUGUCGAGUAUGGAUGUGUGCAGGACUGAAGAGAAUCCUAGAAAGGCAACAAAUGCUGAAAUGUCUCUCCCAAAGCUGAGGAAAGAGAAUAACAAAGAAGGAGACUUCCAAAGAAGUGAGUAUCUUGGAAAGCAGGAGGUCCCACUAAUCGCUUCUUUAUAAAAAGCAAACUUGGAGGUAAACACUCCUUUGGGAAGCAAAUAUAUUGGGUCACACAGCCUCUGUGUCAGGAGAAAAACUCCUCUUCUGUUGGUUCUGAAAAGAUCAUCCUAAACAGAGAGGUCUGCAAGUUGUCUGGGUGACUCUGGGGAAAGUCUUUCACCCCAAAGGGGUAGUAGCACUAUUCUUCACCAGUAAUCAUUAAGGGACCCUGGAAGAAGUAAAGUGAUAAUAUAUCUCCCAAUAUAAAAAGGAAAUGGUCUGCAUGGAUUAAAGGAGGUCAACACAGUAAAACCAUGCUAGUAAGACAUUCAAGUUAUUUUUGCUGCUGCCUCUCAUUCCAUCCAGGAAUCUGACAUUUUCGUGUUCUUGCUCCCUUCCUGCUAUCAGCUCAAAGGCUGAUCUGAAAUCAAUCAUUUACAGCUUAGGGAGACUGUUUCAGAGCCAAGGUAGACCUCGCCGAAUCACUCAGGGGCCCAUCCCCAGAAGUU